UACGUAGGCAGCGAGCGUUGUUCAGAGUUACUGGGCGUAAAGCGUGCGUAGGCGGUGGCCCAAGUCUGGUGUGAAAUCUCCCGGCUUAACCGGGAGGGUGCGCCGGAAACUGGGUUGCUGGAGUGCCGGAGAGGCAGGCGGAAUUCCUGGUGUAGCGGCGAAAUGCGUAGAUAUCAGGAGGAACACCCGUGGUGUAGACGGCCUGCUGGACGGUAACUGACGCUGAGGCACGAAAGCGUGGGGAGCAAACAGG
rnacentral:rRNA from 1 species